rnacentral:tRNA from 1 species
GGGGGCCUAGCUCAAGCAGCAGAGCACGUGCUUCGCAUGCACGAGGCCCUGGGUUCAAGCCCCGGUACCUCCU